CGAGUGAAGCGGCAACAGCUCAGAUUUGAAAGCUCCCCACAGGGCGCGUUGUAAUCUGCAGAGGAUGCUUCGGAGGCGUGCCUGGUCUAAGUUCAUUGGAACAUGACGUCGCAGAGGGUGAGAGUCCCGUACGCGGCCGGGUGCCAAUCCGUGUGAAGCUCCUUCGACGAGUCGAGUUGUUUGGGAAUGCAGCUCUAAAUGGGAGGUAAAUUUCUUCCAAAGCUAAAUACCGGCCAGAGACCGAUAGCGCACAAGUAGAGUGAUCGAAAGAUGAAAAGCACUUUGAAAAGAGAGUUAAAAAGUACGUGAAAUUGUUGAAAGGGAAGCGUUUGCGGCCAGACUUCACGGCGUUGCUCAGCCGGGCUUUGCCCGGUGCACUCUUCGCCCGUGAGGCCAGCAUCAGUUUGGGUGCCUGGAUAAAGGCCUCGGGAAUGUAGCUCCCUCGGGAGUGUUAUAGACCGGGGCACAAUACAGGCCACCCGGACUGAGGACAGC
rnacentral:rRNA from 1 species